ACAAUACGGAUGGCACUGUGAUAGACUGCAUCCAAUUUGUUGAGUAGAGUGUUGGAGGCUAUUUUGUAAAUGACAUCGCCGAAGUCGAGGAUCGGUAGGAUGGUCAGUUUUACGAGGGUACGUUUGGCAGCAUGAGUGAAGGAUGCUUUGUUGCAAAAUAGGAAGCCGAUUGUAGAUUUAAUUUUGGAUUGGAGAUGCUUAAUGUGAGUCUGGAAGGAGAGUUUACAGUCUAACCAGACACCCAGGUAUUUGUAGUUGUCCAGGUUUACAGUCUAACCAGACACCCAGGUAUUUGUAGUUGUCCAGGUUUACAGUCUAACCAGACACCCAGGUAUUUGUAGUUGUCCAGGUUUACAGUCUAACCAGACACCCAGGUAUUUGUAGUUGUCCAGGUUUACAGUCUAACCAGACACCCAGGUAUUUGUAGUUGUCCAGGUUUACAGUCUAACCAGACACCCAGGUAUUUGUAGUUGUCCAGGUUUACAGUCUAACCAGACACCCAGGUAUUUGUAGUUGUCCAGGUUUACAGUCUAACCAGACACCCAGGUAUUUGUAGUUGUCCAGGUUUACAGUCUAACCAGACACCCAGGUAUUUGUAGUUGUCCAGGUUUACAGUCUAACCAGACACCCAGGUAUUUGUAGUUGUCCAGGUUUACAGUCUAACCAGACACCCAGGUAUUUGUAGUUGUCCAGG